rnacentral:rRNA from 1 species
CCUACGGGUGGCAGCAGUGAGGACUAUUGGUCAAUGGCCGGAAGGCUGAACCAGCCAUGCCGCGUGAAGGUCAGUGCCCUAUGGGCGUUAAACUUCUUUUGUUCGGGGGCAAUAAUGGUCACGUGUGGCCAGACUAGAGUACCGUACGAAUAAGCAUCGGCUAACUCCGGGCCAACAGCCGCGGUUAUAAGGGGGAUGCAAGCGUUAUCCCGGUUUAUUGGGUUUUAAGGGUGCGUAGGCUGUGAGGUAAGUCAGCGGUGAAAUGCCCCCGCUCAACGGGGUGAAGUGCCAUUGAUACUGCCUUGCUGGAAUGCGGAUGCGGUGGGAGGAAUGUGUGGUGUAGCGGUGAAAUGCAUAGAUAUCACACAGAACACCGAUUGCGAAGGCAUCUCACGAAUCCGCGAUUGACGCUGAUGCACGAAAGCGUGGGUAUCAAACAGGAUUAGAUACCCUGGUAGUC